GAUGAACGCUAGCUACAGGCUUAACACAUGCAAGUCGAGGGGCAGCAUGGUCUUAGCUUGCUAAGACUGAUGGCGACCGGCGCACGGGUGAGUAACACGUAUCCAACCUGCCGUCUACUCUUGGACAGCCUUCUGAAAGGAAGAUUAAUACAAGAUGGCAUCAUGAGUCCGCAUGUUCACAUGAUUAAAGGUAUUCCGGUAGACGAUGGGGAUGCGUUCCAUUAGAUAGUAGGCGGGGUAACGGCCCACCUAGUCUUCGAUGGAUAGGGGUUCUGAGAGGAAGGUCCCCCACAUUGGAACUGAGACACGGUCCAAACUCCUACGGGAGGCAGCAGUGAGGAAUAUUGGUCAAUGGGCGAGAGCCUGAACCAGCCAAGUAGCGUGAAGGAUGACUGCCCUAUGGGUUGUAAACUUCUUUUAUAAAGGAAUAAAGUCGGGUAUGGAUACCCGUUUGCAUGUACUUUAUGAAUAAGGAUCGGCUAACUCCGUGCCAGCAGCCGCGGUAAUACGGAGGAUCCGAGCGUUAUCCGGAUUUAUUGGGUUUAAAGGGAGCGUAGAUGGAUGUUUAAGUCAGUUGUGAAAGUUUGCGGCUCAACCGUAAAAUUGCAGUUGAUACUGGAUAUCUUGAGUGCAGUUGAGGCAGGCGGAAUUCGUGGUGUAGCGGUGAAAUGCUUAGAUAUCACGAAGAACUCCGAUUGCGAAGGCAGCCUGCUAAGCUGCAACUGACAUUGAGGCUCGAAAGUGUGGGUAUCAAACCAGG
rnacentral:rRNA from 1 species